AGGACAAACGCUGGCGGCGUACCUAAGACAUGCAAGUCGAACGGGGCUCACCGCUUCGGCGGGGAGUCGAGUGGCGGACGGGUGAGUAACGCGUAGGAACCUGUCGUGAAGUGGGGGAUAACGCUGGGAAACCGGCGCUAAUACCGCAUAGCAUCAGCGAUGAUGAAAGCCGGAUACCCACGCAAGUGGGUGGCGCUUUAUGAGGGGCCUGCGUCCGAUUAGCUAGUUGGUGGGUAAGGGCCUACCAAGGCAUCGAUCGGUAGC
rnacentral:rRNA from 1 species